CUUUUCUUCUAUUGUUAUUUUUUAGAGUCCUUCGAAUUGAACGUCUCUUCAAGUUUUACGCUUGAACUGGAAUCUCUGCUCUCUGAUAUCUCAGCAUCCAUUGCUGUGUAACAUCUGCCGGAUCAGAUAUUUUGCUCUUUUUCUGUUUCCUUCUUAGGAUCUUCUGUUGGCCCUGUUUUGACAGUCUGUCUCAUCUUGGGGUUUUAGCCUCUGUGAUAUUUUCUCAAACCCAUUUCGGUCUCUGACUUAUUUUAAAGAACAGUAAUUGGUAAUGAUAAUAGUAAUAGCGACCACUAAUAAAGAUCUUAUUAAUUGCUAGUCAACAUGCUAAGUGCUUCACGUAGGUUAUUUUAAGUAACCUAUGGAACAGCCCUGUAAGACCAGUGGUUUUUAUUAUCUCCGGUGCCUUAUGUUGUCUUCAUUUUUUACAGGUGAGGAAUUUGAGGUAGAGGAGGUUGUGUAUCUUGCCAAGGCCUCAGAACUCUGUGUGUGGACAUUAAGCUUAGAAUUCAUCCCAUUCUGCCUUAACUACCUCAAUUCAACAUUCUUCUGGAAAGGUGGAAAAAGCAAGUGUAAGAAAACUGAGAAGAGAGGACCCAAUCACGCAUACUUGUGAAGAGGAGGAAUUUCCAUCUGUUGCAAUGCUCCCCACCUCUCUGUUCU
rnacentral:lncRNA from 1 species